UUGUGGGAUGAAAGUGUCGAGGGCAGUUGAAGGGUUGUAGCGGCUGUCUGGGGUCUAUUGGCAUACCACGGCAGUACAAACAUAUUAAGUCGCUUCCAUCAUACAGACCAAGCACAGCAUUGUGAGAAAGACCAAUUCUUCAAGCCUGCUGCUUACAGGCCUCUGCUGGGUGGAGCAGACGCUAAAAGACAGCCAUUGGCUGUGGCUCCCUAAGCUGCACUGGCAGCAGGCCGAGCAGCAGCUGAUGACAAAGAGCGAGGAGGGCUGACCUCAGAGGCAUCUCACAUCCUUCCUCUCACACCUACGUGCACGCAGCAGCACAGCACAUGAGCUCAGUGGCGGUUUGCAGCACAUGAUGAGAAGCGGGAAGGCACUUAGCAGGGCGGAUGGUGACAAGCAAGUAGGGCAGGGUGCAAACGCCAAGCGCAAGAAAACGAAAUGACAUUGUGAACGAGGCAGAGCGCAACAGGAAGUACGAGAGGAGAUCUGGGGAAACCGUGAUGAAAUUACACGUCGUCCCAAGUAUGAAUAACCCAGGAAACCUGAGAAAACGCUGAACUUAAACCUCGUGACUCCCACUGAGUACAUGUGAAAAGCUGGAGCAUGCCUGAGACAGGAGUCAGAACUGAACACGCACUCAUCUCUGUUUUUAAGUUGUGACACUCUGGUGUUUGUGCGCCGCGUUUGCGGUGAAGCAUGGAGUGGGACGCUGCCAAAAUAUUGGAAACCAAUAUGCUGAGGAAGAGGAAUCUCGUCUGGAGCAGACAGUCAGUUAAUCCCUUCGCUUGCAGACAGAGGGGGAGGAGAUGAGCGGCAGCAACAUGCUGGGGCUUUGACGCCGCUAAUCAAACAAAGCAACAACUGCGAUGUCUUCGAGAACUGACUUUUGCAAGUCCAUUUGUUAGAGAUAUAAUACAAUUAAAGUUAUUAUUUGUGUGAAAUUAGA